rnacentral:rRNA from 1 species
UUUACUCCUACCGGAGGCAGCAGUGGGGAAUAUUGCACAAUGGGCGCAAGCCUGAUGCAGCGACGCCGCGUGAGGGAUGACGGCCUUCGGGUUGUAAACCUCUUUCAGUAGGGAAGAAGCGAAAGUGACGGUACCUGCAGAAGAAGCGCCGGCUAACUACGUGCCAGCAGCCGCGGUAAUACGUAGGGCGCAAGCGUUAUCCGGAAUUAUUGGGCGUAAAGAGCUCGUAGGCGGUUUGUCGCGUCUGCCGUGAAAGUCCGGGGCUCAACUCCGGAUCUGCGGUGGGUACGGGCAGACUAGAGUGAUGUAGGGGAGACUGGAAUUCCUGGUGUAGCGGUGAAAUGCGCAGAUAUCAGGAGGAACACCGAUGGCGAAGGCAGGUCUCUGGGCAUUAACUGACGCUGAGGAGCGAAAGCAUGGGGAGCGAACAGGAUUAGAUACCCUGGUAGUCCAUGCCGUAAACGUUGGGCACUAGGUGUGGGGGACAUUCCACGUUUUCCGCGCCGUAGCUAACGCAUUAAGUGCCCCGCCUGGGGAGUACGGCCGCAAGGCUAAAACUCAAAGGAAUUGACGGGGGCCCGCACAAGCGGCGGAGCAUGCGGAUUAAUGCGAUGCAACGCGAAGAACCUUACCAAGGCUUGACAUGGACCGGACCGGGCUGAAACAGUCCUUCCCCUUGG